rnacentral:lncRNA from 10 species
ACUGCUUUUCUGAGAGGCCAGGUGGCAGGAUGUGGGACGACUCCAGCUGACAAAGACAGUCUAACCGUGGGGUAGGGGCUGGAGCAGGGGCCAGCGACCCACGUCUACAUGCAUACUUCUCUUACACUGCUGCUACUGGAAAAGCUGAACCCCGCGCCAGGACCCCAGCCCCCUGCAAGGACCCGUGAGCGUCUGGGAAGCUGUCUCUGGGACUGAAGCCCCCCACCUCCGCCGGGCUGGCGGCCACUGCGGUACCCUACGCCCCGUCGGGCUGGUCCUGCACAAUUUGGGAAAAAGCCGCAGCGCUUCUGCAAGGUCUACGUGGCCAUGAGCAUGCAACGCUUGGCUCCAAAAAAGACACGAAAGGAGCAAAGCGCCAACGACCACCCGAUCGGAGGGCCCGAGGGGCGCCUCUUCACCAGUCAGCUGCAGCUUAAGUUCCGUGCAUUAUCUGAAAGGAACAGCUGGCUGGAGGUAUCCAGGGCUGUCACUCCAACCUCUGCAGCAGUGACCUCAACUCCCAGCACUUCAAAACCCAGACAGAAACGUCCAACAAACUCCCAGUCCAGGAGCGCUGCAAAACCAACGCCAGGUAGACGGUGCCAGCCCGGGGGUCGCUGCCCAACAUGCACCCGCAGCCCUUGACUGCGUUGUUUUUCUGCAGAAAAUCAUCAACUGUGGAGAAGAAGAAGGGAAAUAAGAAAGAAAGAAAACCCUAAAAACCACCCUGGCGCCCGGGCCCGCAGGCCUCGGGCCGGCUCUGAAAAGUUUGGGCUGUGCACGUGAUGAGCGCGUAGGCGGGAGCCCCAGACAGGACCCGGGCGGGCAUUUCGAGAAAAAGCAGCGGUGACAGCCUUUGGUCCCCAUCUCCAUUGUUCCUGCCAGCUCUGGACCCCAGGCUGCAUGA